rnacentral:rRNA from 1 species
CCUACGGGGUGCAGCAGUGAGGAAUAUUGGUCAAUGGCCGGAAGGCUGAACCAGCCAAGCCGCGUGAAGGACGAAGGUGCCAAGCAUUGUAAACUUCUUUUGUCAAGGGACAAAAUCAGGCUCGAGAGCCUGACCGAGGGUACUUGAAGAAAAAGCAUCGGCUAACUCCGUGCCAGCAGCCGCGGUAAUACGGAGGAUGCGAGCGUUAUCCGGAUUUAUUGGGUUUAAAGGGUGCGUAGGCGGGCUGUUAAGUCAGCGGUAAAAGCCCGGGGCUCAACCCCGGCGAGCCGUUGAAACUGGCUGUCUUGAGAUGUCGAGAGGUAUGCGGAAUGCGCAGGGUAGCGGUGAAAUGCUUAGAUAUCGCGCAGAACCCCGAUUGCGAAGGCAGCGUACCGGCUCCACACUGACGCUGAGGCACGAAAGCGUGGGUAUCGAACAGGAUUAGAUACCCGGGUAGUC